GGCCUCGUAGCUCAGCUGGUGGAGCGUGCGCGUACAAAGCGUAGGCGGCGUCCAUGCGUGGGUUCGAAUCCCACCGAGGUUA
rnacentral:tRNA from 1 species